rnacentral:rRNA from 1 species
CACGUAGGGCGCAAGCGUUGUCCGGAAUUAUUGGGCGUAAAGAGCUCGUAGGCGGUCUGUUGCGUCUGCUGUGAAAACCCGGGGCUUAACCCCUGGCUUGCAGUGGAUACGGACAGACUAGAGGUAGGUAGGGGAGAAUGGAAUUCCCGGUGUAGCGGUGAAAUGCGCAGAUAUCGGGAGGAACACCGGUGGCGAAGGCGGUUCUCUGGGCCUUACCUGACGCUGAGGAGCGAAAGCUAGGGGAGCGAACAGG